rnacentral:rRNA from 1 species
CCCUUAGAUGUUCUGGGCCGCACGCGCGCUACACUGAUUCAUGCAACGAGUAUUAAUUCCUUGGCUGAAAGGCCUGGGUAAUCUUUGAACGUGAAUCGUGCUGGGGAUAGAUGAUUGCAAUUAUUAAUCUUCAACGAGGAAUGCCUAGUAGGCGCAAGUCAUCAGCUUGCGUCGAUUACGUCCCUGCCCUUUGUACACACCGCCCGUCGCUCCUACCGAUUGGGUGUGCUGGUGAAAUGUUCGGAUCGGCCGUUUGUCGCGGUUUCCGCGUCAUGUGGCUGAGAAGUUCAUUAAACCCUCCCACCUAGAGGAAGGAGAAGUCGUAACA